rnacentral:sRNA from 1 species
GUGAUGCGCGGGCCCACCCGCCAACCGACUCCCGUAGGGCGAAUAGCCGCCCGCGGCUAUCCGCCGGACCGAGGCCCAGGC